rnacentral:rRNA from 1 species
CCCUUAGAUGUUCUCGGCCGCACACGCGCUACACUGAAAGAGGCAACGUGUUUGCCUGAUUCGAAAGAAUUGGGUAACCCCCUAAUCUCUUUCGUGCUGGGGAUUGAGGUUUGCAAUUAUCCUUCAUGAACGAGGAAUUCCCAGUAAGUGCAAGUCAUAAGCUUGCGCUGACUACGUCCCUGCCCUUUGUACACACCGCCCGUCGCUACUACCGAUUGAAUGAUUUAGUGAGGACUUCGGACUGGGACCGAUGCGGCUUUCGGGCUGCGUCGGUAUUCUGGAAAGAUGUCCAAACUGUAUCAUUUAGAGGAAGUAAAAGUCGUAACA